GAUGAACGCUGGCGGCGUGCCUAAUACAUGCCAGUCGAGCGAACAGACGAGGAGCUUGCUCCUCUGACGUUAGCGGCGGACGGGUGAGUAACACGUGGAUAACCUACCUAUAAGACUGGGAUAACUUCGGGAAACCGGAGCUAAUACCGGAUAACAUGUUGAACCGCAUGGUUCAACAGUGAAAGACGGUCUUGCUGUCACUUAUAGAUGGAUCCGCGCCGCAUUAGCUAGUUGGUAAGGUAACGGCUUACCAAGGCAACGAUGCGUAGCCGACCUGAGAGGUUGAUCGGCCACACUGGAACUGAGACACGGUCCAGACUCCUGCGGGAAGCAGCAGUAGGGAAUCUUCCGCAAUGGGCGAGAGCCUGACGGAGCAACGCCGCGUGAGUGAAGAAGGUCUUCGGAUCGUAAAACUCUGUUAUUAGGGAAGAACAAAUGUGUAAGUAGCUAUGCACGUCUUGACGGUACCUAAUCAGAAAGCCACGGCUAACUACGUG
rnacentral:rRNA from 1 species